rnacentral:rRNA from 1 species
AUUGAACGCUGGCGGCAUGCUUUACACAUGCAAGUCGAACGGUAACAGGUUAAGCUGACGAGUGGCGAACGGGUGAGUAAUGCAUCGGAACGUGCCCGGUCGUGGGGGAUAACACUUCGAAAGAAGUGCUAAUACCGCAUACGAUCUGAGGAUGAAAGCGGGGGACCGUAAGGCCUCGCGCGAUCGGAGCGGCCGAGGUCAGAUUAGGUAGUUGGUGGGGUAAAGGCCUACCAAGCCGACGAUCUGUAGCUGGUCUGAGAGGACGACCAGCCACACUGGGACUGAGACACGGCCCAGACUCCUACGAGAGGCAGCAGUGGGGAAUUUUGGACAAUGGGCGCAAGCCUGAUCCAGCAAUGCCGCGUGCAGGAAGAAGGCCUUCGGGUUGUAAACUGCUUUUGUACGGAGCGAAAAGGCUCUCUCUAAUACAGGGGGCUGAUGACGGUACCGUAAGAAUAAGCACCGGCUAACUACGUGCCAGCAGCCGCAGUAA